GACGAACGCUGGCGGCGUGCUUAACACAUGCAAGUCGAACGGAAAGGCCCUGCUUGCCGGGUACUCGAGUGGCGAACGGGUGAGUAACACGUGGGUGAUCUGCCCUGCACUUCGGGAUAAGCCUGGGAAACUGGGUCUAAUACCGGAUAGGAGCCAUUUUUAGUGUGAUGGUUGGAAAGUUUUUUCGGUGUAGGAUGAGCUCGCGGCCUAUCAGCUUGUUGGUGGGGUAAUGGCCUACCAAGGCGGCGACGGGUAGCCGGCCUGAGAGGGUGGACGGCCACAUUGGGACUGAGAUACGGCCCAGACUCCUACGGGAGGCAGCAGUGGGGAAUAUUGCACAAUGGGCGCAAGCCUGAUGCAGCGACGCCGCGUGGGGGAUGACGGCCUUCGGGUUGUAAACUCCUUCCGCUAGGGACGAAGCUUUUUGUGACGGUACCUAGAUAAGAAGCACCGGCUAACUACGUG
rnacentral:rRNA from 1 species